CCUGCUGGAUGCUGAAUUAACUGCGAUGGCAGGAGAGAGUUACAGUCGGGCAUAUGGGGUAAGUGUCAACUAUUCUGCACAUUGUCAUUUUUGAGGCUUAUUUCCAUACUGUUUUCAGAAUGGGCUAUUGAGAACUCACAGGCUGCUGGAAACAUGCCUGUUUUCUCUGAUCGGCAGAUACCCUGACACCAGAAGGAAUGAUUUAAAUUAAUCCUGUCUUUUGGAUUGUUCGUGCAGUAAUUAGUUUGGAAUGCGAUUUGCUUCCAUCAGGCCAUGGUUUCUUGCCACAUGCUGUCCGAGCUGGAGGAGGUUAUCCAGUACAAACUUGUCCCCGAGCGACGAGAGAUCAUCCGCCAGAUCUGGUGGGAGAGACUGCAGGGCUGCCAGCGUAUCGUAGAGGACUGGCAGAAAAUCCUUAUGGUGCGGUCCCUUGUGGUCAGUCCUCAUGAAGACAUGAGAACCUGGCUCAAGUAUGCAAGCCUGUGCGGCAAGAGUGGCAGGCUGGCUCUUGCUCAUAAAACUUUAGUGUUGCUCCUGGGAGUUGAUCCGUCUCGGCAACUUGACCAUCCUCUGCCAACAGUUCACCCUCAGGUGACCUAUGCCUACAUGAAAAACAUGUGGAAGAGUGCCCGCAAGAUCGAUGCCUUCCAGCACAUGCAGCAUUUUGUCCAGACCAUGCAGCAACAGGCCCAGCAUGCCAUCGCUACUGAGGACCAGCAGCAUAAGCAGGAACUGCACAAGCUCAUGGCCCGAUGCUUCCUGAAACUUGGAGAGUGGCAGCUGAAUCUACAGGGCAUCAAUGAGAGCACAAUCCCCAAAGUGCUGCAGUACUACAGCGCCGCCACAGAGCACGACCGCAGCUGGUACAAGGUGAUCAGAAGCAGGCCACCUGUGAGACCCAGCACCCUGGCUGGCUCAUGUCCUCCUGUGUGCUCGUGGUUACAGCUGAGCUUCUGCGGAGCUAGGCUGAUGCUGUGAACUUACUUCUUGAGUCCCUGGAGCCUAUCUAUAAGAGGCCCAGGGAGCCUGCAUUUCCCCCUACAAGUUUAAUUAAUACAGAAAGAUUAUUGGAGAAAUACUUGUUACACCAUUAUUAUGUGUAUGUGGUGUUGAGGAUUGCUGCUGUCUUAUAGACUCUGAGCUGCUUGUUUUCCUGGGAGCAUCUGGACACAUGGUUAAUCUCUGGAGCGACAUCUUCCCUUAGGUCAUCUGUUCUUGCUCAGCGUUUUUCUGAUUUGCAUCCUUGCCUGCUCCUCAGCUAAGAACUUAACUUUCUUUGUUUUUAUUGGAAAGAUCCAAGUAACAUCCUGUUAUGUUACAGGAAACUUUUGAAAGAGAUAAACAGAAUUAGAAAAUAUAUAAAAGAUGUGAUUGAUGGAGGGGUGAUUUUUGGAAGUAUAUAUCUUUGGUGAGAAUAUACUUUUUUAUUUCUUUUUGAGAGGCUUCCUGGUAACUACUUGGUGUGGCAGAUGUCAUUGAUGUCUUUCCAGUAUUUCCUUGGCUUGCCAAUACUUUGUGAAUUAAUCUCUCUGAAAUCUAAACUUGCAUCUGAGGACUGCAGAAGCACUUAUAAUACAGAUCUUACCUUUGUUUAGGCAUGCUUCAUUCUGGUUUGAAAAAUAUCCAUUUUGUCAUAAGAGUAAUACUCUCUCUAGGACAGCUUUCAUGUCCAAAGCUGGAAUACAUCCGGUAAACACUAUUAACUGGAAGCUUAUUAAUCAGAGUUGUAUUCUAACCAGAGUUACUUUCAUUCAUUUAGCUUUUAGGAAGUAAGCAAAUCACAAGAAAAAAGUUGGUUUCAGGAACUUUAGUUUUAGUUUUUAAAAGGUUUUCCUAAUGUGGGUCCCUUUUGUUUUAUGAUGUAUUCUACCAUCAACGUCAUGGCCCUGUGUGCAUGCCAGGACUGUUUGUCUUGUUCACCUUGACCCCAGGUCAUUGCCAGGCACAUAGCAGAUACACAAGAGAUAUUCAGUGAAUAAAUGAAGGUAUGGAAAAACAAACCUGGGUCAUUGUAGAAUUCUUACUCAUCAAGUAAAGGUUAGUUGUGAUCAACCUAUUCUCCUUAGUUGAGAAAACGGACACACCUGUGUUCAAGGUUUUUGGCAAGGCAUACGAACGAAUUUCCCAAUUAUUCAGAAAGUUCAGCUAUUAAUGGGUCACGUAGUGUCCUACUAUCACUGCAAAGUUACCAUGCCUGGAAGCAAACUCUGCCUCACACUCGCUAAACCAAGUGGUGGUACGCUGUAGAGUCAUUGCCGCUCAGAACCCCAGAGAGAGUAGUAUUCCUUUAUCCAAAUAAGCACCAGCGGUUCUUCCUUCAAGCAUUGAGCACUGGUUCUCUGUCAGGCCGUG
rnacentral:sRNA from 1 species